rnacentral:lncRNA from 1 species
CUGGCUAAAAGUUAUAGUGGUAGAAGUGUGCAUAUGUUAGAUAAGUGGUUACUGCCCAGGUGGGACCACAGUGUGGGAAGAGGAUAGGUUGUAAGUAGGGCUAGGUGUGUGUAGCAUGGUAUUUGGGUAUUGGAAAUAAAAUAAUGGAUAUGUAGAAAAUAAUGGUGGCAUAGUGGAGGAAGAAAAUGGGGUAGUGAAAGUGGUAGGAAUGAAAGAUGGAAUGAAACUAGAAUAUCAUGGUUGAGUAGUGAAACCCCUGAGAUCAUAGUAGGG